CUGUGGGAAGUUUCUGUACAUACAUCAGAUUGAACUUCUGAAAACACUAGCAGUGCCCCCACUCAAUAACUGGCAUGUUUACCUUGUUCUAAGUAAUUGAAGUGUGUGAUGUCUGUGUAAUUAGGUUUGCAGGCAAAUACCAAAGAGGCAUGGUCCAAGGACCAGGAAGUGGAGAAAGGCAUUAAAAGUUUGACCUACAUUUAAAGAUUGAAGGAGCGUGUAAAGAAAGUGAAAAUACCAGAGCUCAGGAGAGCCCCAUGCAGCUCUCCAGAUCUUGUGCCUGAGAGGAAGAGAACGAUGCCCACGAACCCUGCCAAAUUCUUCCGGAGAAAUUUCAGGACUGUUUCGCAACGAUCCAUCAGAGACAGGGUAGCCAACCUGGAUGCAAAUGAGAAUUCUUUCAGCCUGAAGGAACAUUUCUUUAAAGACAUCCAGGAAGAUUGGCCUGGCUACACUGAAAGAGAUAGACAGACAUUGGAGGUGACCCUUUCUCAAAAACCAACUCCAUCUCAAAAUGCCACCAGCACCAGCCAGUCACCAUCUCUGGGACCUUCUGAAGGAGAUACUCUACCCAGAACUGCUCAGAAACGGCCUCUGGCUUCUGACUUUCUCAGUUCUGUGAUGGGCAAGAAGCAGAGGAUUGACCAAGAGCCCAGUGAUGUCCAGCCAGCAGCUGGUGGCCACUCGCCUUUCUUGGACCUGCCUUCCACAUCCUGUUCAAUUUUGAAGCUGUCUCCAAGUGUCAGAUCCAUUUCCGCCUCCACCCCUGAAGUACAACUGAAAAAUAAGGUUCUGACACAUUCUGGAUUCCCAGUGUCUGCCAGGGUGCAGGGGAAGACUCCUAAGUCCAA